rnacentral:rRNA from 1 species
UACGAAGGGGGCUAGCGUUGCUCGGAAUCACUGGGCGUAAAGCGCACGUAGGCGGAUCUUUAAGUCAGGGGUGAAAUCCCGGAGCUCAACUCCGGAACUGCCUUUGAUACUGCGGAUCUUGAGUUCGAGAGAGGUGAGUGGAACUGCGAGUGUAGAGGUGAAAUUCGUAGAUAUUCGCAAGAACACCAGUGGCGAAGACGGCUCACUGGCUCGAUACUGACGCUGAGGUGCGAAAGCGUGGGGAGCAAACAGG